rnacentral:lncRNA from 1 species
CAAACAUGCAAGUGGAUAUGAGUCGAAUUCAUCUCCUCACCAAUGUGACUGCCAACAGAUAGCCCCAGAAACAAAUGAGACUGCAAGAUUACCAAGUGGAAAAGAAGCACAGAGGGUCUAUUUAGAACCAGUGAAGUCAAGCAUGGAUCGUCACUACAGCAGACAGCUGGCUCAGUGCAACAGACUCAUGUUCCACCCUCCUGAUGUUCACAGCCACAGUAGUGACUUCUUGGUGAAAGCUUAGGGACCAGACAACCAGGAUUCCUACCUGCCUCUUCCACAUUAAUACCUGGGGACAGGUUACUUCAUCGAUGUUACGAUCCCGCAUCUGAGAGAUGCAGAUUCCAAUAGCACUGGCCCUCAUGAGAGAAGUGAAUGCUAUGUGAAGUCCCAGGAACUAACUUACAGCUGUGCCAGAUGCACAGCAGUGCUUAAUAA